rnacentral:lncRNA from 1 species
GCUGCCCCCCUUCGCAACGUGCUCCCCCAGGGCUUCUGCACCUGCGCCCCCGGCGCCAGCCGCCAACUGCAGCACCGAAGCCCCUCCGCCGCCGCCCCCUAAGUCCCCCAGCUUCCAGGCCCAGCCGCAGAAGGCCAGCGUGCAAGCCUUGCCCGCGCCGCCCGGCCCUCCAGGGUCGCAGCCGCUCGUGCAGAAGAAGAGGAUUGGCCGAGGCCCAGGGACCGGUGGAGGAAAACUAAAUCCACCUCCUGCACCCCCCGCAAGAUCCCCCACCACAGAGCUUUCCAGCAAGAGCCAACAGGCCCCAGCCUGGACCCCCACCCCACAGCCUGGAGGCCAGCUGCGAAACGGAAGCCUGCACAUCAUCAACGACUUCGAGUCUAAGUUCACGUUCCAUUCUGUGGAAGAAUUUCCCCCUCCAGAUGAAUACAAACCGAGCCAGAAGAUUUACCCCAGCAAGAUCCCCAGAAGCCGCACUCCUGGUCCCUGGCUCCAGGCCGAGGCAGCAGGGCAGAGCUCCGAUGACAUCAAAGGUAGAAAUUCUCAGUUAGCCCUAAAGAUGCUCCGGUGAGAAGAUGAUGAAACCAGUCCUGGGGCUGCAUACGGCAGGAUGGUACCCACUGAAGAAUGUGUCUCACUCUGCUGUACUUAGACUAUAUUCGGCUGACAUACAGGCUCUGACAGAGCACUUAUUUAUUGUAAAUAGGUGGUUUGCACGGGCUUUAAAGCACCAUUUUAGUCGACUUUUAUUUGAGUCAUAUUUUUUAAAACUCCAUGUCUCCAUUUUUUAAAAUGCAUAUUGGCAUUAGUCUGUCUGUACAAAUAGAGCCCUGUCAUACCCCGUAGUGUCUAUUCUGUGACUGUAAAUAUGCUUGCAGGCUGGCCCUUCCUAGAUUCUGAACCGUUUUUAAGAGUGUUCUUAGUUUGCAAGUAGUCCCAAAGUCAUAAUUACCCACCAUGGCUUCUUAUUGGCAUGACUUUAUAUUCUCAUUGCACCAACUGCAAAAUCAAACCAAAUAAUGCCUUAUAAUGAUGCAGCUCAGAGGAAGUAAUGUGUCCCCACACCCCGACAGUGCCGCGCAGCCUCCAGUGAGCGAGAUGCCACAUCUUGCUUCCGUUUUGCAGUACAGGGAUGUCUUUUUUGCUGCCUAAUGUAAAUAUAUCGCAAUGUCAAAGCAGGAGUAGGCUUAGCCCCUCCAGAGUCUUCCGCAGGGCCCCUUUUGUAACUGAAUUAUUUUACAAGUAGUCAAUGCUCUUACUGUUUACAGUAUCCCUGGUGUCCAUGUCUCUGUCAUUUACCUCCUGUCCCUGCAAGAUCCUAGCCCCAUCCCAGUAGUAAGGAUAAGGUCAGCUAUAUGAGAUUUUGAUAUUUUAUUUUUUUGAAGAUUAAAUAAUGUACACAAUUCAUGAUUAUAAUAAACUACAAAUUCUGUAUCAGAGGUCUGUCCAUCCCCAUCCUCACCCUGAGUUCAGGAUUUCCAUGGAAAAUAUGACAUGAAAAAGAACAUCUUGUAAAAUAUGUGCCUCAAAAAUCUGGCCCCAUCCCUAUGCUUUAGGACCCUGGGAACCAGCCCUCAGGCCAAACAGAGCUCCCUUCCGAGCUUAGAGAACAUAGAAGGCUGACCGUUUCCCCUGCCUUCUGGUGGGCACCUGGGGCCCAGGGAUGUGUGCCAGUUCCACUGCCCUGAACACAGAAAGGCUCAGGCCCUGCUGAGACUGCCCUCCUACUUUCCUUGAGCCAGCAAAUGUGGAAGUGUAUCUGCUUGCUGCCUGACCCCAAAUGCUCCCCAACCCUGGCAGAGAGGGCUAUAUUAGGGAAAGGAGAAAAAAUAGAAACAGACUGAUCCUGGGCUGUGCUCAAAAUAGCUACAAACAAAAGGAAAUUGAGAAGGGAGAGGAGUGGAAAAUGUUUGUUUUGGAGCCACCCACUCACAUCUUUAGGAUAUCAGGUGGAGGCAAAGCCAUCCAGAAAUGGUGGACAGGGACGAGGGUUUGGCCGGCCUGACUGCAGACACCUGGACAUUGUCUGGAGCAAAGAUUAAGCUGGUAUCCUACAUCAGUGCUGUGCUUUCUGGAUCCAGACAAGCAGCUGAGAGUCAGGAUAAAGUUCCUAUCUCUGCAGCAUGACUCAAGUCAAAACUGUAAUAGUGAAAUUUACAGGCCUUUUGUAUUACUGAUGUGUUGUGGAAGGUUUCAGAAAGGUCAGAAUUUCUUUGUUGGAACGGUAUCCACUCUGCCUUCCUCCCAGGUGUGUAAGUAAUUAUAAAAGCUUUAAUUACCAUGUCGAAGAAGCCCUAGACAAAGGCAAGCCCACCUCCAGAGUAGACCACCUGCCCUGAUGCUGUGUUCGUACGUGCAUGUUCUGCACUGCUGGUUUAUAAAUCAAAAAUCAAACUAGUCAAGGACAGAG